UCGUCUCAUCACCUACGCCGCCAACGAACCCGUUACCGGAACAGUGUUCAAUGACCUUCAGCCUAAUCAAUGACUGGCUUACGCACAAGAAGUGGCGCUAAGCUAACGACAAAAAUCCAGAAAGUGCUUUAAGGAUAAACUCGAAUGUACUCAAGGACUUCGGCGUCAUCUGACUUGGCUAUUGCAAUCCUGGCUCCAACAAGUAUGACACUUGCGUGAUUGCAGCCCGGAUUAAUGUUGAACGAGGACCAGCUGAUCAGCUAAUCCGCCAGCUAGACACCUGUGCAGCGUGCUUUGUAAGAGAAGCUAAGUCUUUGUAAGGAAUAGGCGAACGUAGGUUGUGCAGUAUGCAACGUCACCACAAACGUCUGUACACAACGGCUCCUUCUACGAUCAGACCAUAGACAAAGAGAAAGCUCUCUAACCGGCUUCUUAUCAAACCAUUUUCUGCAAAACACGCUGAGAUUUAUGGCUUUAAUAACGUCACUUAAAUUUCUCUAACAGAGUUCAACCUUUGAGGCUGACUGUA